rnacentral:tRNA from 1 species
GCCGAAAUGGUGGAACUGGCAGACGCGCUGGACUCAAAAUCCAGAGCCCUUUGGGGCGUGCGGGUUCAAGUCCCGCUUUCGGCACCA